GUUCACCAGGAUAUUUUCUCACUGGGGAAACGGCAUCCGAGAUCGCUGCAGCAAAACGCAUUUUGCCAUGUGAUGCUUCUCGCGUUCUGUCAACGUUUCGAAGGCAAUGCCGAACGAACACAGCACCUGAAGCCGUUCAAGGAGAGCGUCUGUUGUACAGCACCACUAGAUACUGUUAAUACCACUUUAGAGGAUAGUAUAUAAUCCCUGCCCGGCGCAGUAACAUGUAAACGGCGGCUGUAUUAUGACGGUCCAAAGAUAGGGAAAUCCUUGUCGGGUAAUAAUCGUCGUGCGUGAAAGUUGGUCCAAUUCUUCACAUGUCGUUUAUCUAAAACUUUUCAAGAACCGAAGUGGUCCAAACCAC
rnacentral:lncRNA from 1 species